rnacentral:rRNA from 1 species
UAGAAGCAGCCAUCAUUUAAAGAAAGCGUAAUAGCUCACUGGUCGAGUCGGCCUGCGCGGAAGAUGUAACGGGGCUAAACCAUGCACCGAAGCUGCGGCAGCGACGCUUAUGCGUUGUUGGGUAGGGGAGCGUUCUGUAAGCCUGUGAAGGUGUGCUGUGAGGCAUGCUGGAGGUAUCAGAAGUGCGAAUGCUGACAUAAGUAACGAUAAAGCGGGUGAAAAGCCCGCUCGCCGGAAGACCAAGGGUUCCUGUCCAACGUUAAUCGGGGCAGGGUGAGUCGACCCCUAAGGCGAGGCCGAAAGGCGUAGUCGAUGGGAAACAGGUUAAUAUUCCUGUACUUGGUGUUACUGCGAAGGGGGGACGGAGAAGGCUAUGUUGGCCGGGCGACGGUUGUCCCGGUUUAAGCGUGUAGGCUGGUUUUCCAGGCAAAUCCGGAAAAUCAAGGCUGAGGCGUGAUGACGAGGCACUACGGUGCUGAAGCAACAAAUGCCCUGCUUCCAGGAAAAGCCUCUAAGCAUCAGGUAACAUCAAAUCGUACCCCAAACCGACACAGGUGGUCAGGUAGAGAAUACCAAGGCGCUUGAGAGAACUCGGGUGAAGGAACUAGGCAAAAUGGUGCCGUAACUUCGGGAGAAGGCACGCUGAUAUGUAGGUGAAGUCCCUCGCGGAUGGAGCUGAAAUCAGUCGAAGAUACCAGCUGGCUGCAACUGUUUAUUAAAAACACAGCACUGUGCAAACACGAAAGUGGACGUAUACGGUGUGACGCCUGCCCGGUGCCGGAAGGUUAAUUGAUGGGGUCAGCGCAAGCGAAGCUCUUGAUCGAAGCCCCGGUAAACGGCGGCCGUAACUAUAACGGUCCUAAGGUAGCGAAAUUCCUUGUCGGGUAAGUUCCGACCUGCACGAAUGGCGUAAUGAUGGCCAGGCUGUCUCCACCCGAGACUCAGUGAAAUUGAACUCGCUGUGAAGAUGCAGUGUACCCGCGGCAAGACGGAAAGACCCCGUGAACCUUUACUAUAGCUUGACACUGAACAUUGAGCCUUGAUGUGUAGGAUAGGUGGGAGGCUUAGAAGUGUGGACGCCAGUCUGCAUGGAGCCGACCUUGAAAUACCACCCUUUAAUGUUUGAUGUUCUAACGUUGACCCGUAAUCCGGGUUGCGGACAGUGUCUGGUGGGUAGUUUGACUGGGGCGGUCUCCUCCUAAAGAGUAACGGAGGAGCACGAAGGUUGGCUAAUCCUGGUCGGACAUCAGGAGGUUAGUGCAAUGGCAUAAGCCAGCUUGACUGCGAGCGUGACGGCGCGAGCAGGUGCGAAAGCAGGUCAUAGUGAUCCGGUGGUUCUGAAUGGAAGGGCCAUCGCUCAACGGAUAAAAGGUACUCCGGGGAUAACAGGCUGAUACCGCCCAAGAGUUCAUAUCGACGGCGGUGUUUGGCACCUCGAUGUCGGCUCAUCACAUCCUGGGGCUGAAGUAGGUCCCAAGGGUAUGGCUGUUCGCCAUUUAAAGUGGUACGCGAGCUGGGUUUAGAACGUCGUGAGACAGUUCGGUCCCUAUCUGCCGUGGGCGCUGGAGAACUGAGGGGGGCUGCUCCUAGUACGAGAGGACCGGAGUGGACGCAUCACUGGUGUUCGGGUUGUCAUGCCAAUGGCACUGCCCGGUAGCUAAAUGCGGAAGAGAUAAGUGCUGAAAGCAUCUAAGCACGAAACUUGCC